GGCAAGGGCGCAUGCUUUAACAUGCAAGUCGAACGGUAACAGGCCGCAAGGUGCUGACGAGUGGCGAACGGGUGAGUAAUGCAUCGGAACGUGCCCAGUCGUGGGGGAUAACGCAGCGAAAGCUGCGCUAAUACCGCAUACGAUCUAUGGAUGAAAGCGGGGGACCGUAAGGCCUCGCGCGAUUGGAGCGGCCGAUGUCAGAUUAGGUAGUUGGUGGGGUAAAGGCUCACCAAGCCGACGAUCUGUAGCUGGUCUGAGAGGACGACCAGCCACACUGGGACUGAGACACGGCCCAGACUCCUACGGGAGGCAGCAGUGGGGAAUUUUGGACAAUGGGGGCAACCCUGAUCCAGCAAUGCCGCGUGCAGGAAGAAGGCCUUCGGGUUGUAAACUGCUUUUGUACGGAACGAAACGGCUCUGGUUAAUACCCGGGGCUAAUGACGGUACCGUAAGAAUAAGCACCGGCUAACUACGUGCCAGCAGCCGCGGUAAUACGUAGGGUGCAAGCGUUAAUCGGAAUUACUGGGCGUAAAGCGUGCGCAGGCGGUGCUGUAAGACAGGCGUGAAAUCCCCGGGCUUAACCUGGGAAUGGCGCUUGUGACUGCAGUGCUGGAGUGCGGCAGAGGGGGAUGGAAUUCCG
rnacentral:rRNA from 1 species